UGGUUCCCAAACUUUUUAGGUUCAAGACGCCCUUAAUAUUUCAGUAUAUUUCCAAGGCACCCCAAGUCAAAAUUUCUAGGUUGUAUAUCAGCACAGCGCUGCGGCAUUUACUGGCGCUAUAGUGUAAUGUACAGUGUUGGUGUUUGAAGCGGUGCUUGUAUAUAGUUAUUGUGUUUUAAUACAGGGGUGUGUUCGUAUGUAAUGUUU